ensembl:lncRNA
AAGAGUUUUCCUUCAAGCCCAGAAGCACAAGACAUAGAGCACUGCCUUUUUUGUCAGAACUGCUCAGUUCUGUACUUCUCUUGAGCCUCACCUCUGUGCCUGGGAAGAUUGUGAAGCAGAUGUUUCUGGAAGCUAUGCUAAGGCACACGCAAGGCAAGAUGGUGAUACGUGACAGCCAGCAUGGCUUCACCAAGGACAUAUCAUGCGUGAACAAUCUGGUGACCUUCUGUGGUGGAGUGAUGGCAUCGGUGGACAGAGGACAACUGAUCUCAUCUACCUGGACUUGUGCAAGGCCUUAGACAUAGUCUCUCAUGAUAUACUUAUCUCUAAAUAAAUAGAUAGGGAUUCGAAGAGUGAAUAUGGAAUUGUUUGGGUACUUGCAGCCAGAGGGCUGUGGUAAAUGGUUUUAUGUCCUGGUGGAGGCUUGUCAUGAGUAGUGCCUCCCAGGUGUCCACCUUCAGACUGAUGCUCUUCAACAUCUUUGUCAAUGACAGAGACAGUGGGACUGAGUGUACCUUUCAGCAAGUUUGUAUAUUAUACUAAGCUGAGUGGUGAAGUUGAUACAAUAGAGCAAGGUAUGCCAUCCAGAAGGAUCUGGACAAACUUGAAAAGUGGGCACAUAUGAACCUAAUGAGAUUCAACAGGGCCAUGUACAAGGUGCUGCACUAGGGUCAGGGCAAUCCAAAAUAUGUGUAGAGACUGGGAGAAGAACUGAUUGAGAUCAACCCUGUGGAGAAGGACUUGGGGGUCCUGGUGGACAAAAAGCUGGACAUGAGCCAGCAGAGUGCGCUUACAACACGCAAGGGCAGCUGUAUCCUGGGCUGCAUCAAAAGAGGACCAUUAGGUGAUUCUGUGAACAUCAGGAGAUCAGCAAAGAGGAAAAGAAAUUGAUGUGUUCUAUGCAGCUCCUCUGGCUAUGCCCAUUGUUCACAUGCCUUUUGUUGUACAGUUGUUUUAGAUAUGACACUUUGAAGUCUGUAGAUGACUGUAUUUUGUAGCAACAAAAGCUC